UAAUCAAUUUUGUUCUACUAUAUUUUGACAUGGGAUUUAUCUAUAUAUUCAUAUUGCGAUGAAAUGUUGAAUACUUUAGAUUUGUUAAGAUCACUAACUACAAUUUAUGUUGAUGUUGCAGAGUUUUGUUCUAGCUCUAGGAAGUCUACAUUCAAUGAGAAAUAUAUUUUGUAUGAUGGAAUAGGUUCAGGUAAUUGUGUUUUGUUAUAAUACAUGAGAUAUAUGCUAAGUUUUGAAAAUAAUUGCUUUUAUGCAUUGUUUUCAUUUGUAUUCUCAAAGUCAAGUAAGCAAACUUCCAAGAGUUCUAAAAAAAGAAGAGUUGCAAUUGCUAAUGCAAUUCGAGAUACUAGUAAGAGACUAAGAAAUUCUAGUGAACCAGAAAAUACUAUAGCCAGUCCAACUAAUGAUGAGCAAACCACGUUGCCAACAACUGCAAAUGCUCCGAAGAAGAAAAAAAGUCCAACACAAGUGAAGAUGAUUCCUGAGCUUAGGGAUGACAAUGGGUUGAGCUGAGCCAGCUUGACCCUUUAAUUCAUGAGAUCGGCUUGGGCUCGUGGCUCAUGAAAAACAAGCUGAGCCGAGCCCACGAGCCACUUUCGAGCUCGUGAUUUUUUUAAUUUUUUUUAUAAAUUUGUACAUUUUUUAUGAGGCUCGUGGGCUCGUAAGCUUUGGCUCGGGGCUUGGUAAGUCGAACAGGCUCGGCUUAUAAGAUUGAGCCCCCUGCUAGACUCGAGAAAUGAGAGCCCGAGCCUCCACGAGCCUAGCGGUUAAGUCAACAAGCCGCUCGGCUCGUUUGACAUCCCUACCUAAACAUAAUUAUCAGAAGAUGGAUCUUGAAUACAAUGAAUAUGGCCAAGUUGUUGGCAAGAACUUAGAUAAAUUUGCUAGCAUAGUUGGGGCCAUAGUACAAGAACAUGUGCAUGUUGUAAUUAAAGAUUGGCAUCCGGUGAAUGGAAAGAAAAAAAUGGAGCUUUGGACUUUCAUAUAGGUAAUAUUUCUUAACUACCUUUUAAAAUUAUUAAGUUGCAUAUUUUUCUUUCUUAAUGAUACGAUUCCCUUUAUAUCUUAAAUUUAUGUUUGUACACAAAUGUAGCAAAGGUUCAGUGUCAGUUAUUGUCAUCAAAGAAUGUCACUUCAAUGUAUGGGACAGUAUUGGAGGACAUGCAAUUCAAGAUUGAGAAAAGAAAUUAGAAAUCAAGUUGUAAAAGUGGGAAUAGAGCACGCACUAUUGCCCUUCUUAGACUAAAGAAUGUCAACUUUGAAGAAGUCUGGGUAAAAUUUGUCAAGGAUACUCUUUCUGCUGAUUUUCAUGUAAGUAUAUUUGCAUAUGAUGCUUAAAUUUCUAUAAUUAUUGUUGUUUAAUAUUUUUUUUCAUAGGAAAAAAGUUUCAAGUUCAGCAACAUGAGAACUAAUCAAAAGCUACUCGAUACUAUGGGUUGAAAGGGUUAUCCACGUAUGGCUUAUGAAAUGCUACAUCUUAGAAACAUAUCUUUUCUUACAUGAAUUUUCCAGCUCCAAUUUAUAUAAUCACUAAAUUUGUACUGCUAAGAAAAAAUAAUCCAGAUUUAAAAGGGUUAAGAACAAGAGUAUGGACUCAUGGACAUUUUGGGAAAGAUGGAAAACCAAUAAAUGAAGCAGUUGUCAAGACUUUGGUAUGUGUUUUAUAUCAAUGUUCAAUGAAGCAUAGUUUGAUUUAUUGGUUGUAUCGCUCGCUAUUAUGAAAUUUGAGUUCGAUAAGUGCAAAGAAGGAUUGAAGAUUGUGCCGUUCAAUUUCUAAUACACCCGUCGAAGAUUCUAUUCGCGAUGAUGCUGUCGCUCGAGUUGUAGGUCCUAAAGGUCAUGGAAGAGUUAGGGGACUCGGAUUUGGAUUUGGACCAUCAAAGGUGGAUGGACAAAUACGAAGUAGUGGGAGAGUUAGAGAAUUUGAAAGCCAAUUACAAAUUCAGGCACAAAGAGUUGGGACACUAUAAGAAAAAGUGGAAGCACUUCUCAAAUUAUCUCAUCACAUCAAGAAAUGGUGCCCAAGGAAGUACUACACCUAUGACAAAUGCAAGAUGUCAACUAUUGUAUUAAUACACGUUUUAGGAGGAAGAAGUCGUACCAGAAUGGAAGAUUGCAACAACAGACCCAAGUGAAACUGUGCAUUAUUUGCCACUUGGUCGAGACUGUUGGAAGGUUUGGGCUGAGGAAGUGUAUAUGGGGAGAUCAGUGCGGUGCAAGAAGGAUUGGUGCAAUUGAAGAUGACAAUAUCAAAAGCAAUAGAGAAGUGGGCACAACAGCCAUUUUAAUGUGUUGUGUAUAGUAUUGAAUAUUUAAUGCUCCUUUUGGAAAUCUCUUUGGUGGUAUAUGUUUUGUCGUCUCAUAAUUAUUUUUGUGGUACAUGUUUUGUGGUCUAC